UUAUUUAUAACUAAGUGUGUACUUAAAGCAUUUAUUAGAAUUUUAAUAUUUAUUAUUAUAUAUAAUAUUACCACAAAUAUUGAAUUUAAUAAUUGGAAUACUUAUUUAUAUUUCAAAAUAUUUAUAUUGACUAUUAAUUUCGGAUUUUUCGGGUUACCCGUUCGGGUUCGGUUAAUAACACUUCGGGUGUGACCACUAUAAUAUUUCCAGAGAAACAACUUCAUAGAGGUGUGAACAGAAAUUAUAUUGAGCUUUAAGGAAUUAUAUUAUCUAAUCACUAGCAAAACUAUCUCUAAAGAGGGGAAAAGGGCCUUUUUAGAUCCCAACGAUAUGCGUCGUGCCUUUUUAGACCCAAACAAAACAUAAGUGCAAAACUAUUCCUGAACUGAGAUUUUUUAAAAAAUUUCGACCCAAACUUGACUCCGUUACAUGAAAUCCUACAUUGACUAACUUAUCGUUAGUCAACCGUUAAACCAUGCUUAGUUGGAUAAAGGAAAAAUGCCGAUUUCCACCCGUUCAAUUUCGGUCGUGCCUUUUUAGACCUGAAAAAUGAGUAAGUGCGAUUUCAUACCAAACUGAAUAAUAAUUUAAAUUUCAUACCCGAACCGAACGAUAGUCACUUUAAGAAAUCAAUCAUAUAGCUACCAAUUUUUUCGUAGCUAGAAAGAAAAAUCUGUAGCUACAAUGCAAAAGGCGACAGAUUGCUACGAAUUGGAACCGUGGCGUCAUCGUCGAUUCUAAACCCGAUCUGUCGCCAUUCUGUAGCUUGCUAGCGCCAAAUUUUGCGAGAAAACUAGUUGUAGCUAUUGGCGACUGCAUGGCUACAAAGUGUUUUGUUGCUUAAUAGCUACGGCAUAGCUGUAGAGUGCUCUAUUGCUAAAUAGCUGUAGAGUUUAGCUACUAUGUUUCUUUAGCUAAAUCGUAGCUAUAUAAAUAAAAAAAAACGAUGCUAGUCGUUGCUAAAUAGAACAAUUAUAGCAACCAUUUAUCUCUGGUCAAUGUGUAGCUAUUUAGCUAUAGACCACUAAUGGAAUCCGUCUAUAGGUAUAUAGCUAUGGAUUAGUACAGUUAGCCACAUAUUUAGCUACAAAGUUAAAAUUAUGUGUUUUGUCACUAUAUCUUUAGGUAAAAAAUUUGGCUACUAAAAUGCCUUUGCCAACCCUUAGCUAAUUUAAUGAAUUAUUGUAGUGAGUUUGAAUUUCAUAAAAAAACUACUCUUACUAAUGUUUGGUUAGUCAACCGUUAUUUUGAGCGCGUCAGUGUCUAGGCAGAGAUGACAUGUCGAGGGAGAGUUAAAACGACGUCGUUUCACUUGGAGGGCCGAACCCACGCCAGACACAGACAAGUGAAUUAAAUGAACACUUUACCAUCAGGUUUGCUCACAGAUUCGUCGCGGAUCGAUCCCUAAUCAAAUGGAUUCGAUUUAUUGGGCUUGAUAAUGCCUCUGUUCAUGCUAAUCCAUUUUAGACGAAGAAACUAAUCUCCGCUCUUGUCUACGUGUUAUAGCCUGAGCUAAUCUUUUUGGCUCCCAACGUUACAUUCUCAUGUGAUUUUAAAAUGUUCACUACUAUCAAAAAUAGAACUUCCUAAA